UAGGGAAUCUUCGGCAAUGGACGGAAGUCUGACCGAGCAACGCCGCGCGAGUGAAGAAGGUUUUCGGAUCGUAAAGCUCUGUUGUUAGAGAAGAACGUUGGUAGGAGUGGAAAAUCUACCAAGUGACGGUAUCUAACCAGAAAGGGACGGCUAACUACGUGCCAGCAGCCGCGGUAAUACGUAGGUCCCGAGCGUUGUCCGGAUUUAUUGGGCGUAAAGCGAGCGCAGGCGGUUCUUUAAGUCUGAAGUUAAAGGCAGUGGCUUAACCAGUGUACGCUUUGGAAACUGGAGGACAUGAGUGCAGAAGGGGAGGGUGGAAUUCCAUGUGUAGCGGUGAAAUGCGUAGAUAUAUGGAGGAACACCGGUGGCGAAAGCGGCUCUCUGGUCUGUAACUGACGCUGAGGCUCGAAAGCGGGGGGAGCAAACAGG
rnacentral:rRNA from 1 species